AGAACAAGAAGAAGAAGAAGAAAAAGAGGAGAGAGGAGAAGAAUAAAGAAGACAAAAAAGGAAAAGAAGGAAGAAGAAGAAGAGGGAAAUGGAAAAGAAGGAAGAAGAAGAAGAAGAAAAGGAAGGAAGGAAGAAGAAGAAGAAGAAAAGGAAGAGGAGGGGAAAAAGAAGAAGAAGAAGAAAAUGACACCCUAACACCUCGACACCCCGACACGAUGCCCAAAACCCCGACAUGACAUCCUGAC
rnacentral:lncRNA from 1 species